rnacentral:rRNA from 1 species
CAGCCGCCGCGGUAAUACGAGCCGUGCGAACGUUAUUCGGAAUCACUGGGCUUAAAGCGCGUGUAGGCGGGCCGCCACGUCGGCUGCUGAAAUCCCCCGGCUCAACCGGGGAAGUGGCACCGAUACGAGCGGCCUCGAGGGGGGUAGGGGGCACUGGAACUUCCGGUGGAGCGGUGAAAUGCGUUGAGAUCGGAAGGAACGCCCGUGGCGAAAGCGAGUGCCUGGACCCUUUCUGACGCUGAGACGCGAAAGCCAGGGGAGCGAACGGGAUUAGAUACCCCCGUAGUCCCUGUCUCUUAUA